AAGCUGAAAUGCUCCCAAGCUGUAGAAAGUUGACAGCAGAGACGUCCAGGAAACAAGCAAGGUUCAAAGCGUGGAUGCUGCAGGGCGCCUUUGAGAAAAAGAAAUUUCAGAGAGCAACAGAUUCAGUCUUACCUGCUGAGGUCAAGAGCUGGAGGAUCCUGCUUGAGAAGGAAGACGAGUCUGUUUGGAGUACUGACGAGGAUAUCUGCACAGAGAAAA